rnacentral:rRNA from 1 species
CCUACGGGAGGCAGCAGUGGGGAAUCUUGCGCAAUGGGCGAAAGCCUGACGCAGCAACGCCGCGUGCGGGAUGAAGGCCUUCGGGUUGUAAACCGCUUUUAACAGGAACGAAAAUGACGGUACCUGUAGAAUAAGGUGCGGCCAACUACGUGCCAGCAGCCGCGGUGACACGUAGGCACCAAGCGUUGUCCGGAUUUAUUGGGCGUAAAGAGCUCGUAGGCGGUUCGAUAAGUCGGGUGUGAAAACUCUGGGCUUAACCCAGAGACGCCACUCGAUACUAUUGUGACUAGAGUUCGGUAGGGGAGCGGGGAAUUCCUAGUGUAGCGGUGAAAUGCGCAGAUAUUAGGAGGAACACCGGUGGCGAAGGCGCCGCUCUGGGCCGAAACUGACGCUGAGGAGCGAAAGCGUGGGUAGCAAACAGGAUUAGAUACCCUGGUAGUCCACGCCGUAAACGGUGGGCACUAGGUGUGGGCUCCAACCAACGGAGUCCGCGCCGUCGCUAACGCAUUAAGUGCCCGCCUGGGGAGUACGGCCGCAAGGUUAAACUUAAAGGAAUUGACGG